rnacentral:rRNA from 1 species
UUCAACGGCCGCGGUACCCUAACCGUGCAAAGGUAGCAUAAUCACUUGUCUAUUAAUUGUAGACUAGCAUGAAUGGCAAAAUGAGGGCCUAACUGUCUCUUAUAGUAAAUCAAUUAAACUGAUCCUCCAGUAAAAAAGCUGGGAUGCUCCCAUAAGACCAGAAGACCCUGUGAAGCUUAAACUAAAUUAUUAAACCAUAUAAUAACUACUUUCGGUUGGGGCGACCUUGGAAAAAAAAAGAACUUCCAAACAUCUAAGCUAUAAAUACUAACCUCUAGGCCCACAAGCCAAUUAACGACCCAGCACCGCUGACAAUUGAACCAAGUUACUCCAGGGAUAACAGCGCCAUCUUCUUCAAGAGCCCAUAUCAAAAAGAAGGUUUACGACCUCGAUGUUGGAUCAGGACAUCCUAACGGCGCAGCC